GAAAAUGUAUUAAGUUUUCACAGAGUUUAUUAUACUCUUUCUUUAUUGCACAUUUUAAAACAUAAUUGUCAGUAGAAAAACAUGGUUCAAGAAGAGAACUAGAUGCGGAUUCAACUCCCUCAUUCUCACUUAUUACUCAUCAUUCUUUGAUAUGCAAUACAUACGAACCCAAAAUACUCACCUUUUCUCAAGAUAAGCAAAUAAUAUUUGUACAUAAAUGCCAAUGUAUUUGAUGAAUUUGGCUUCACUCCAAAUGAACCAUGGUUCUAUGCCAGAUUUGAGGAGCGCCUCCUCUGGAUCUCAUUCCCCCUCAUCCAAAAAAACAUCCCAUUUGAUGAAAUCCUCAAAGCUUAAUAUCUUCACGAGACAUUCAAUUAUAGCAAGCAAUGUGUUGAUCAUAUCAUUCUACUACUUUCUUUUUACAGGGAGCAUCACCUUUAAAUUUUCCUUUAAAAAUUUGUCCUAUUAAAGUUGAUUGUAAAAAUUACUGUCUUUCCAUAAUUAAAUUUCUUUUUUUAUAUUUUUGCAUAAAUACAAUUUGUCUAUAAUCAAUAAAUAAAUUUUAAUUUAAUAUCAGAAUAAAUAUUAUAUUCCUAAAAAUGUUCAAUAUAUUACUAAAUCA
rnacentral:misc_RNA from 1 species